rnacentral:siRNA from 1 species
UGAAGAUGCGCCAAACCUCUC